UGGGGAAUUUUGGACAAUGGGGGCAACCCUGAUCCAGCCAUGCCGCGUGAGUGAAGAAGGCCUUCGGGUUGUAAAGCUCUUUCGGCGGGGAAGAAAUGGCAACGGCUAAUAUCCGUUGUUGAUGACGGUACCCGCAUAAGAAGCACCGGCUAACUACGUGCCAGCAGCCGCGGUAAUACGUAGGGUGCGAGCGUUAAUCGGAAUUACUGGGCGUAAAGCGUGCGCAGGCGGUUUCGUAAGACAGACGUGAAAUCCCCGGGCUCAACCUGGGAACUGCGUUUGUGACUGCGAGGCUAGAGUACGGCAGAGGGGGGUAGAAUUCCACGUGUAGCAGUGAAAUGCGUAGAGAUGUGGAGGAAUACCGAUGGCUAAGGCAGCCCCCUGGGUUAGUACUGACGCUCAUGCACGAAAGCGUGGGGAGCAAACA
rnacentral:rRNA from 1 species